ensembl:lncRNA
UUAAUAUGUAGGUAUUCCCAUUCUUCAAUUCAACAAAUCAUGACACAGCCCUUUCUGGUUAAUAUGUAGGUAUUCCCAUUCUUCAAUUCAACAAAUCAUGGCACAGCCCUUUCUGGUUAAUAUGUAGGUAUUCCCAUUCUUCAAUUCAACAAAUCAUUAGACAGCCCUUUCUGGUUAAUAUGUAGGUAUUCCCACUCUUCAAUUCAACAGUUGCUUUUAUUUGCUGUCAAAAUACUCAUAUCAAAAGAUGAAAAAUGCGUCACAUUGAUUCUUCAGU